rnacentral:tRNA from 1 species
GGAGGUAGAGCUCAAUGGUAGAGCACGUGCUUGGUGUGCACGAGGUUCUGGGUUCAAUCCCCAGUACCUCCG